CCUACGGGAGGCAGCAGUGGGGGAUAUUGCACAAUGGGGGGAACCCUGAUGCAGCGACGCCGCGUGAGCGAUGAAGUAUUUCGGUAUGUAAAGCUCUAUCAGCAGGGAAGAAAAUGACGGUACCUGACUAAGAAGCCCCGGCUAACUACGUGCCAGCAGCCGCGGUAAUACGUAGGGGGCAAGCGUUAUCCGGAUUUACUGGGUGUAAAGGGAGCGUAGACGGCCAUUUAAGCCAGAUGUGAAAGCCCGGGGCUCAACCCCGGGACUGCAUUUGGAACUGUGUGGCCAGAGUGUCGGAGAG
rnacentral:rRNA from 1 species